rnacentral:rRNA from 1 species
CAGUCGCCGCGGUAACACGAAGGGUGCAAGCGUUGAUCGGAAUUACUGGGCGUAAAGCGUGCGUAGGCGGUGAGUUAAGUCUGCUGUGAAAUCCCCGGGCUCAACCUGGGAAUGGCAGUGGAUACUGGCUCGCUUGAGUGUGUCAGAGGAUGGUGGAAUUCCCGGUGUAGCGGUGAAAUGCGUAGAGAUCGGGAGGAACAUCAGUGGCGAAGGCGGCCAUCUGGGACAACACUGACGCUGAGGCACGAAAGCGUGGGGAGCAAACAGGAUUAGAUACCCCUGUAGUCCCUGUCUCUUAUAC